rnacentral:rRNA from 1 species
CCUCCAGACUCCUACGGGAGGCAGCAGUGAGGAAUAUUGGUCAAUGGUCGGGAGACUGAACCAGCCAAGCCGCGUGAGGGAUGAAGGUACAGAGUAUCGUAAACCUCUUUUGUCAGGGAACAAAGGCGGGGACGUGUCCCCGGAUGAGUGUACCUGAAGAAAAAGCAUCGGCUAACUCCGUGCCAGCAGCCGCGGUAAUACGGAGGAUGCGAGCGUUAUCCGGAUUUAUUGGGUUUAAAGGGUGCGUAGGCGGACAGUCAAGUCAGCGGUAAAAAUGCGGUGCUCAACGCCGUACAGCCGUUGAAACUGGCAGUCUUGAGUGGGCGAGAAGUAUGCGGAAUGCGUGGUGUAGCGGUGAAAUGCAUAGAUAUCACGCAGAACUCCGAUUGCGAAGGCAGCAUGCCGGCGCCCGACUGACGCUGAGGCACGAAAGCGUGGGGAUCGAACAGGAUUAGAUACCCGCGUAAA